rnacentral:lncRNA from 1 species
GUUUCUUUUGUUCUUCUUCUUCUUCAAUUCUUAUCUUUUCAAGCUGUGCCACACCAAGUCCUCUUUGGGGGUACCUUUUUAGGCCUUUGCUUUUUGAAAGAUCUACCAAUAUUAUUGUUCCCAAUUCCACCUCCACUGCUUGUGGUAUUUCUACAUCUUUGGGUUUGGUUUUCAUCUUCGCUUUUACUAGCUUCCAUAUAAAACAAACAAUUUUUCCGAAAGUUUG